rnacentral:rRNA from 1 species
AUUGAACGCUGGCGGCAGGCCUAACACAUGCAAGUCGAGCGGAGCGGCGGUCGGGGGAGUAAUGCCUAGGUAUCUGCCUGGUAGUGGGGGAUAACGUCCGGAAAUGGGCGCUAAUACCGCAUACUCUCAGCUGAGCCUAGGCCGGAUUAGCUAGUGGGUGGGGUAAGGGCCGACCAAGGCGACGAUCCGUAACUGGUCUGAGAGGAUGAUCAGUCACACUGGAACUGAGACACGGUCCAGACUCCUAAGGGAGGCAGCAGUGGGGAAUAUUGGACAAUGGGCGAAAGCCUGAUGCAGCCAUGCCGCGUGUGUGAAGAAGGUCUUCGGGUUGUAAAGCACUUUCAGUUGGGAGGCGUUACCAGCAGAAGAAGCACCGGCUAACUUCGUGCCAGCCGCCGCGGUAAUAC